GCGGGCGAUGGAAAAUGGCGGCCACAGGGAGGCGCCCGCGCUGAGCACAGCAACAAGGUGAUGAUGGUGCCUCCUCCCUACCCAUCGCUCCCCCACAAUGUCCCAGCAGAGCAAGUCUGGGAGCUGAGGAUGUCAGGAGAGGAACCCACCACCAUGCCUGGCCAACGUGCAGGGGGGAACGGGCAGGAGACCGAUGCCCCAGCACUGCCGAGGUUUGGAGGCGAGCAGCUGCCAGCCCCGGGAAACCUGAAUAAUCAAUAAAAAGCUUUUAAAAAGCAGGAAA